GACGAGGGGUCCUAGCGUUGUUCGGAAUCACUGGGCGUAAAGCGUAUGUAGGCGGCUUUUUAAGUCGGUUGUGAAAUCCCAUGGCUCAACCAUGGAAUUGCAUUCGAAACUGGAAAGCUUGAGUGUGGGAGAGAUUGGUAGAAUACCUGGUGUAGUGGUGAAAUACGUAGAUAUCAGGUGGAAUACCGGUGGCGGAGGCGGCCAAUUGGCCCAACACUGACGCUGAGAUACGAAAGCGUGGGGAUCAAACAGG
rnacentral:rRNA from 1 species